UACGUAGGGUGCGAGCGUUGUCCGGAAUUAUUGGGCGUAAAGAGCUUGUAGGCGGUCUGUCGCGUCUGCUGUGAAAAUCCGGGGCUCAACCCUGGGAUGCCGGUCGAUACUGCCGGACUAGAGUUCGGAAGAGGCGAGUGGAAUUCCCGGUGUAGCGGUGAAAUGCGCAGAUAUCGGGAGGAACACCUAUGGCGAAGGCAGCUCGCUGGGACGUUACUGACGCUGAGACGCGAAAGCGUGGGGAGCAAACAGG
rnacentral:rRNA from 1 species